rfam:Triticum aestivum genome assembly, contig: Triticum_aestivum_CS42_TGACv1_scaffold_147539_2BS
AACCCAUGAUUAGGACAUUUCCUGAAUAAAGCCUUCUCUCUCCCAAGCAUCAUACAAGCUCACGCCUUCACGCUGAACGAAGUUGAAGAUCCCAUUUCGAAU